CCUACGGGUGGCAGCAGUGAGGAAUAUUGGUCAAUGGCCGCAGGGCUGAACCAGCCAAGCCGCGUGAGGGAUGACGGUCCUAUGGAUUGUAAACCGCUUUUGUCAGGGAGCAAAGGGCGCCACGUGUGGCGCUUUGCGAGUACCGUAAGAAAAAGCAUCGGCUAACUCCGUGCCAGCAGCCGCGGUAAUACGGAGGAUGCGAGCGUUAUCCGGAUUUAUUGGGUUUAAAGGGUGCGCAGGCGGAAUGUCAAGUCAGCGGUAAAAUUUCGGGGCUCAACCCCGUCGGGCCGUUGAAACUGGCGUUCUUGAGUGGGCGAGAGGUAUGCGGAAUGCGUGGUGUAGCGGUGAAAUGCAUAGAUAUCACGCAGAACCCCGAUUGCGAAGGCAGCAUACCGGCGCCAAACUGACGCUGAGGCACGAAAGCGUGGGUAUCGAACAGGAUUAGAUACCCCAGUAGUC
rnacentral:rRNA from 1 species